GAUGAACGCUGGCGGCGUGCCUAAUACAUGCAAGUCGAGCGAACAGAUGAGGAGCUUGCUCCUCUGACGUUAGCGGCGGACGGGUGAGUAACACGUGGAUAACCUACCUAUAAGACUGGGAUAACUUCGGGAAACCGGAGCUAAUACCGUAUAAUAUAUUGAACCGCAUGGUUCAAUAGUGAAAGACGGUUUUGCUGUCACUUAUAGAUGGAUCCGCGCCGGAUUAGCUAGUUGGUAAGGUAACGGCUUACCAAGGCAACCAUGCGUAGCCGACCUGAGAGGGUGGUCGGCCACACGGGAACUGAGACACGGUCCAGACUCCUACGGGAGGCAGCAGUAGGGAAUCUUCCGCAAUGGGCGAAAGCCUGACGGAGCAACGGCGCGUGAGUGAUGAAGGUCUUCGGAUCGUAAAACUCUGUUAUUAGGGAAGAACAAAUGUGUAAGGAACUAUGCACGGCUUGACGGUACCUAAUCAGAAAGCCACGGCUAACUACGUG
rnacentral:rRNA from 1 species